GAUGAACGCUGGCGGCGUGCUUAACACAUGCAAGUCGAACGGAAAGGCUCCUGCUUGCAGGGGUACUCGAGUGGCGAACGGGUGAGUAACACGUGGGUGAUCUGCCCUGCACUUCGGGAUAAGCCUGGGAAACUGGGUCUAAUACCGGAUAGGACGAUGGUUUGGAUGCCAUUGUGGAAAGCUUUUCGGUGUGGGAUGAGCUCGCGGCCUAUCAGCCUGUUGGUUGGGUAAUGGCCUACCAAGGCGCCGACGGGUAGCCCGCCUGAGAGGGUGUACGGCCCCAUUCGGUCUGAGAUCCGGCCCAGACUCCUACGGGCGGCCACCGUGGGGAAUAUUGCACAAUGGGCGCUAGCCUGGUGCAGCGACGCCGCGUUGGGGAUGACGGCCUUCGGGUUGUAAACUCCUUUCGCUAGGAACGAAGCGUUUUGUGACGGUACCUGGAGAAGAAGCACCGGCUAACUACGUG
rnacentral:rRNA from 1 species